rnacentral:rRNA from 1 species
UGAAAUCUGGCCCUCGGGUCCGAGUUGUAAUUUGUAGAGGAUGCUUUUGGCAAGGUGCCUUCCGAGUUCCCUGGAACGGGACGCCAUAGAGGGUGAGAGCCCCGUCUGGUCGGACACCGCGCCUCUGUAAAGCUCCUUCGACGAGUCGAGUAGUUUGGGAAUGCUGCUCUAAAUGGGAGGUAUAUGUCUUCUAAAGCUAAAUACCGGCCAGAGACCGAUAGCGCACAAGUAGAGUGAUCGAAAGAUGAAAAGCACUUUGAAAAGAGAGUUAAAAAGCACGUGAAAUUGUUGAAAGGGAAGCGAUUAUGACCAGACUUGGGCCUGUUUGAUCAGCUCGGGUUCUCCCGGGUGCACUCUCUCAGGCUCAGGCCAGCAUCAGUUCGUCGCGGGGGACAAAGGUCGCGGGAAUGUAGCUCCCCUCGGGGAGUGUU